AGGCUGGAGUGCAGCAUUGCAAUCAUAGCUCACUGUAAACUUGAACUCCUGACCUCAAGCGAUCCUCCCACCUGGGUCUCCCGAAGUUCUAGGAUUACAGCUGGGCACUCUUCAGGAUCUGUGGAUACUUCAGGGGUUCACAAUCGCAGUCUAGUCUUUAAGAAGACAUUUGACUUCAUGGUCCAAGAUGGACCACGUUCAGUAUCCACAUUCUGAACAACAAGAUGGAGGAAGAAACAAGAAGAAGCAAAGAGCGCACUUGUGCUGUUUCUAAAAGACUCUCCCAUGAGUUGAAGGGCCAAGAGAAAAACUUGCGUUUCUGUUAAAACUUCAGCAGGCAUUUAUUAUGUCUUCAAUUGUUUUCGUUUUCUUUGCCUUAUGAUAAUCAGGCCAUACUUGGACCUGCUUUGACAUCCUCAUUGAACUUAUGCUUACUAGAGUGGCUCCCCUCAGUUCCCACUCAUUCUGCCUGAGCCAAAUUCCUGUUUCCUAUACCUGCCCACCAUUUGCUUGGCCCCAGGGUUAUGCCUAGCACUUAAAUUCACCACAAACAUCCCUUGAUACCGUACAUCAGAAACAAAAUGUGACCUACAGCAAACCUAAUGAUUAUAAAUUGCUCUUUUCCGAUCCUCCCAUUUUAUUGCUUCCCACUCCCCAAAAAAAGGACUUUAACCAAGUUGCCAAUUCAUCAGCAAUUUAUUUUUUUCCAUAAAGUCACCAAGCUGCC
rnacentral:lncRNA from 10 species